rnacentral:rRNA from 1 species
CAGAGGUCCCAAGCGUUGUUCGGAUUCACUGGGCGUAAAGGGUGCGUAGGCGGUCGGGUAAGUCUGAUGUGAAAUCUCACAGCUUAACUGUGAAACUGCAUUGGAUACUAUCCGGCUUGAGGAAUGGAGGGGAGACUGGAAUACUUGGUGUAGCAGUGAAAUGCGUAGAUAUCAAGUGGAACACCAGUGGCGAAGGCGAGCCUCUGGACAUUUCCUGACGCUGAGGCACGAAAGCCAGGGGAGCAAACGGGAUUAGAUACCCCGGUAGUCCUGGCCCUAAACGGUGCGCAUUUGCUGUGAGUGGAAUCGACCCCGCUCGUGGCGAAGCUAACGCGUUAAAUGCGCCGCCUGGGAAUACGGCCGCAAGGUUA